AAUUGGAUCGCGGCCGAUUUUGCGAUAAUGCAUUGCUAAUGUCCAAAGCUGCUUAUAGGAGACUUACUGAGCCAUAUGUUCCGAGUGCUACGUGUCAAAUGUGAAGAGGGCUUGGAAUGGUUUUAGUUAAGUAAACAAAGACUACUGUGAUAUAUCUCAAAAUGAAUGUGCGUGAUGAGGCACUUGAAAACUCUUUGCAGUUUAUCUGUACAGUGGCACGAAACCGCAAAUUGUUUUCCGCUGCAUUCUAUUAACGAGCAACUGAUGUACCUGUUAGGAGCUUCCGUGCGUUGUGGUGUGCCGUGAAAGCGGCACUUUCACUCUGCCGCCCAGCCGCUGCAGCGAAGCGCUGCAACGCUACCUAGAUGGACACGAGUACGCGACAUUCGCAAUGCAUUCCGCCGACUCCAUCCAUUAUCAUGCCAAUGCUUGCUUGCUGAAUCGAGUGAUUUUUUUCUUAUUUUUCAGCUUUAUUACAGCAGAAUAGGUUUUGAGUCUGUUUUAUCAUGAUCUGUAAUUACCGAGUCAUUCCAUCCUUUCUGAGAUUCAUAAUACACAUACGCGCAAAUCAAUUGUAAAAAUUGCUAUUCGAUUGUUGAAGUUCAUUUAGGAGUCAUUAGGCCAGUUUGAAGGCUUUGUACCUAUAGUCUGCCAUCGCUGAAAUAUCAGAGUAGUGUGAGAAUGAUCAUCUUCCAACAUUUGGUUCGUCAUUACGACAUCAAUAGAUUACAAUAUUUCUGUUGAAACAAGCAAGUAUUUAUUUAAAUAGUAAUGUUGAUUGCGCUAGUAAGCCACCCAAACCACGAUACUUCUUUUUGCUCUUCUUGAGCCUGUCUUUUUUAAGAACCUGACACCCUGGAGCGUUGGUCAUUACUGCAAGUUUAUAUUAGCACUAAUGUCCUGAAUUAACACAAUUCGUUUAAUGGCUUGAUGCUGAAAACUUAAAUAUCCUGUCUCUUUCGAGCACCAAAUGAAUAAUCAUUUAUCUUUGUUUGUUCAUGGUCUUGUUUAACUAUUUCCCACGACCCUAUUCCAAAAUUUUCAAGUUACUACACCAGAUGCAACUUCUUAUUCACAAGUCUGAAUUCCAAUACCUAUUUUGUGCACCUAUUUUUAUUACACGGCACUUUAGCCACAUACCUACCUUUCGGUCGAAUCAAAUGUUAUUUUGUGAUAGUUUACGUAAAGAUAUCGUGACGUCUCGUAGGGUGACGGCACCAGUAAUGGACAUGGCACCAAUUAUGGACAUUUUUUUCGUUGAUCGAAUUUAUUAAGCAACUGUCGCAACAUUUUGAACUGGCAACACUAAAAUCACAAUCAAUAGAUGUUUGGGCUAUCAUUUUGACACACGUCACCAAAAUCGGCCACUUUGUUUUAAGACAGCUGCGAAGUGAAAUCUCGUUGCGCGCGGUGGUAAUGAAAAUCCGUUUUUACUAUUGAAAUCGUUAAGGAAAUGGCACCAAAACAAAAUUACAUCCCCAAACAAAUGGGGAGAGCAUUGGAUGCUGUAAGGAUGGGGGAAAAGAUAAGCAUGGCUGCCCUCCGGUUUGAUGUUCCUCGAAUAACCUGGGUUACCUCCGCCAUAUCGAAUAACAAAUGAUCGAAAGUAAAAAU